ACUCGUGAGAGCAUGCGCUUCAAUAUUCAUUAAGAAAAAGUUUAAAUAUGUAAACAAUAUGGCCGCCAUAUGCAAAUUAGUCCUUCCGGAUAUAUGCCCCAUUCACUUCAAGAGGUAAAUUUGGAGCACUGUUUCUCAGCAACCGUGCAACCUAGCAAGUUGAAACUUUGCAUGCAGAAUCUAUCAUACAGCCUCUAAAGGAUGUUCAAAGGGCAACUUAAUCAAUCAACAUGGCUGAACACCAUCAGCCAAUCAGCAUUCAGCAGACAUUUUGGCAGGCUGAAUGUUGCCCAAUCUGGAUGAUAUUUGGCAGUUAUGUUCAGGUGGAGACACUGUAGUGACCUGCAAAGUGCUGAAACAAUCCGCCCACUGGGGGGCGCUGUUCCAAAAAAACGAGUAUAUGUCAAUCAUGCUGUACUAUUUUGACAUCUAAUUGUUUUUGCCAUAUUUAGUACAGUGGCUCUGACAAAUUUCUCAAUACAACUAUGUUUAAAAAGUGCUUUGUUCAUUCAUAAUUGCUAAUUGUUUGAAAAUAGCUAUAUUGAAACUACUCUCUGGAUAUGUGGCCUAUCACCUCCAUUUCAGUCUUGCUGCACACUGUAGAGUCUCUAGGUAAAUGUUCAUUAAAAACAUUUGUGAAAAUUUCACAUACAAUAGUGUCCAGGCAUCAAGCAAUCUGUGCGUCCUUGGAAUUUCUAACCUAAAUUGCUGUAACUCUGCAGUAUUUGCUGUAAUCUCACAAUGUUAAAGACCUCUGUACAAUAUCACUCUGAUGAAGCGCCAUUUAAUACAGAACUAGAUUAAGAAUAACUUGACAUUACAUGUCAUAUCAGAACAUGCACUCCUUUGUGCCUCUUCUCAACAUUAAUAACAGGUGAAAGACUUUUGAUCAUUUUAAAUGUGACAGAAUGUCUCCAAUUGUGUUAGACCUUCUUACACAUCACCAUCCUAUGCUCUAGUAGGCACCAUUGUGCUAGUUGGUGCUUGAUGAAGCGCCAUUUAAUUCAGAACUAGAUUUAUAAUAACUUCGUAAUUACAUGUCAUAUCAGAACAUUCACUCCUUUGUGUUAAUUUAAACUUGUUUGGUCAAACAUUUCAGCUUGUUCUGCAAAGGUUCAAAGGUCAAUCUGAAUACCACUUUGUGAACAUUCUGGUUGAAGCCACCUGAUCAAUACCAAUAACAUGUAGACACCUUUUGACUAGUUCUAACUCACUUAAUGAAUAUCCUACAAAGUUCACUAGAUUUACAUGUGAAUUUAAGCACUGAUCAGGUUGAAAGGCCUCUGCUCAACAUUAAUAACAGGUGAAAAACUUGAUAAUUUCUAAAUGUGACAGGGCAUCUCCAAUCAUAUUAGACCUUCUUACACAUCACCAUUCAAUGCUCCAGUAGGCACCAUUGUGCAAGUUGGUGCUUGAACCCGAUGAUUGCCGCUUGCGGCUAUAUUUAUUAUUAUUAUUAUUCUUUUUCUCCUGAAAAAACAGUUGUGCAGCCUAAACCGUAAGUCAUAGAGAAAUGAAACUUGGUAGGUAGAUGUAGGAUCAGUGCAUCUCGGUGGACAACAAAAAUGGCACCGAUUGGUCACGUGGUGGCGCUAUAAACAAGGAAAAUCAUUUUUCACAAUUUUCUCAAUAACUCAAAAACCAUAAGACCUACAUUCAAAAUUCUUUUUUUGAUGGAUUCCUUGGGUCAAUACCAACAACUUUCCAAUUUGGACCAUGCACUUCCGUCUAUAUAGAUUUUGUGCUAAUUUGCAUAAUAUGCAAAACCUACUUUUGCAAACUAGUCCUAGGAAUUUUGACCAAUCCUGGCAUGUUUGGUAUCAAAACACUCGUGAGAGCAUGCGCUUCAAUAUUAAUUAAGAAAAAGUUGAAAUAUGUGAACAAUAUGGCCGCCAUAUGCAAAUUAGUCCUUCCGGAUAUAUGCCCCAUUCACUUCAAGAGGUAAAUUUGGAACACUGUUUCUCAGCAACCGUGCAACCUAGCAA